rnacentral:rRNA from 1 species
AUUGAACGCUGGCGGCAUGCCUUACACAUGCAAGUCGAACGGCAGCACGGGAGCAAUCCUGGUGGCGAGUGGCGAACGGGUGAGUAAAGUAUCGGAACGUGCCCAGUCGUGGGGGAUAACGUAGCGAAAGUUACGCUAAUACCGCAUACGAUCUAUGAAUGAAAGCGGGGGAUCGCAAGACCUCGCGCGACUGGAGCGGCCGAUAUCGGAUUAGGUAGUUGGUGGGGUAAAGGCUCACCAAGCCGACGAUCUGUAGCUGGUCUGAGAGGACGACCAGCCACACUGGGACUGAGACACGGCCCAGACUCCUACGGAAGGCAGCAGUGGGGAAUUUUGGACAAUGGGCGAAAGCCUGAUCCAGCCAUGCCGCGUGCAGGAUGAAGGCCUUCGGGUUGUAAACUGCUUUUGUACGGAACGAAAAGGUUUGGCCUAAUAAGCUGAGCUCAUGACGGUACCGUAAGAAUAAGCACCGGCUAACUACGUGCCAGCCGCCGCCGUAA